GCUUUUAAUUGAAAGAAAGGAGGAAUGGUUUGACAAGAAAAGAGCUGUCUCUAUAUAAUUUAAUAGAAUUUUAUUUAUAGGUGAAGAAGCCUAUAUUAUAUUAAAAGACAAGAAGACCCUAUUGAGCUUUAAAAAAAUUAAUAGAUCUAAGUCUAAUAGUUAAUUAAAAAGCAUGCUAUAAAAAAUUUUGGUUGGGGCGACUGAGGAACAAAAAAAGCUUCCUUUAAUUUAUAAGACAUACAAGUGUUGAUCCAAAAUAUUUUGAUUAAAGAAAUUAGUUACCAUAGGGAUAACAGCAUUAUCUUUUUUGAGAGUUCUAAUCGAAAAAAGGGUUUGUGACCUCGAUGUUGGACCAGAAUAUCCUAAAGAUGCAGCAGUCUUUAAAGGUUGGUCUGUUCGACCAUUAAAAUUCUACGUGAUCUGAGUUCA
rnacentral:rRNA from 1 species